ensembl:lncRNA
CGCUCAUCACUUCACGAGCAGGAAAAGGAAAUGUCAAAGGAGAUGUUGAAACUAGAGGAGCGGAGGGAGAGCAGUCAAGAGAUGGGCAGUAAACAGCGAUGCAUCAUACUCUGCUUAUCUGGGAAAUUCACCUCCAAACGAAAAAAGGCUGUGCGCCAGUCCAGGACCUCAGGAUAUCUCCUCCACCGUGCAGCAGCAGGAACCUCUCUAACCUCAGAAAAGCAUCUACUCAGAGCAGCUUCCAAACCACAUACUUUAUCCAGACGCUGUGGCAUUAAAAUCAAUUUCAGGAGUCAAGAGAGCGAAACCAGUGAAUUCUGAGUGAACACUGUUUAGACUGUUUGUGUAAGAAUGUGUUAACCACCUCAUCUCCAUGCACACUAUGAGAAAUGACCUAGGACGUCUUGUGUUUUCUCCCAUUUGACUUGUGGCUAAGUUGAUGAACUCAGAUAUCUACCAAGUAACCUUAUAGCAUGCUUUAGUGAUGUGGAACAGUCCUCAGACAUUUUUUUUAAAUUAAUUCAAUAAAAUUUGAGACUUUACUAGUGUGUGACCUUUUAUCUUAACUUAACCAGCCAAUACUUGGACAUUUUCUGGUGUAUCUUUGCCAAAUUACAAAUCCUGAUUCAGUUUGAUGGCAUGAAAGGUCAGAGAAAAUUUCAGCCUCUUAUCUUUUCAUAGUCUUUUAGUUAUUCCUGCUGAACAAUAAAAAAAGACCUGAAAGCAGGUUGAUGGACCAUUUUUCAAAAAAUAUGGACAGCAUUCAUUAUAUAUGUUCAAUUUUUGCACCUUAAAAUUGUAUAAAACUUGUAUAAGGCUGAGUAGAAGUAGAAGUGGAUGGGAAAACCCACGGGCCUCGUGUACUGAAAUAUAAACACCUGUCUGUCCAUCCACUUUCUCAUCCAAGUCUGGUCAUGGUGGCACUGUACUAAGCGAGCUACUUCAAACGCGCUUCCCAGCAGCAUCUUCCCAAUCGUUGCAGGAGAUCUCAAGAUGUGCUCGAAUGAGGUGAGUUAACAACUCCAAGGCGGCCUAAGAAAUCUUCCGUGGGUUCCAGGGGGCACCCAGGAGGCAUCCUUAUUAGAAGCCUGAACUGCCUCGGUUGGCUCGUUUCUAGGGCACAGCAGCAACUCUGAGGGACUUCCAGAUGUUUUCUUACUUGAGUUUCUUUCUUCUGCCUCAGACCUUGUUUCUGCACAAAUGAUGGCACUGAAAGUGAUUUUUAAGGGUGAAUGUAAAACUGAUGUCCUUUAAUCCUUGCGGGAUGCCAUCACUUGGUAAUCCAUGCCAUCGGCUGAUCAGGUAGUGUUUGUCCUCUUUUUUUUUUGCUUCCUUCUCUUUUUAAAUCAGACCUUGUUGGCUCUUAUCUGCACUGUUGCAGCAGAGCCUCUUUCCUUCUUUAUUUUCACCAUCAUUUGAUUAUGAAAGAAACAACAAUUCAUGAUUUGGCUUG